rnacentral:rRNA from 1 species
CAGCGAGUAAUGUCGGGAACUCCAGGGAGACUGCCGGUGAUAANCCGGAGGAAGGUGGGGACGACGUCAAGUCAUCAUGGCCCUUACGAGUAGGGCUACACACGUGCUACAAUGGCGCAUACAGAGGGCAGCAAGCUAGCGAUAGUGAGCGAAUCCCAAAAAGUGCGUCGUAGUCCGGAUUGGAGUCUGCAACUCGACUCCAUGAAGUCGGAAUCGCUAGUAAUCGUGGAUCAGAAUGCCACGGUGAAUACGUUCCCGGGCCUUGUACACACCG